rnacentral:rRNA from 1 species
CCUACGGGAGGCAGCAGUGGGGAAUCUUCGGCAAUGGGCGCAAGCCUGACCGAGCCAUGCCGCGUGAGCGAUGAAGGCCUUAGGGUUGUAAAGCUCUUUCGCCAGGGAUGAUAAUGACAGUACCUGGUAAAGAAACCCCGGCUAACUCCGUGCCAGCAGCCGCGGUAAUACAGAGGGUGCAAGCGUUAAUCGGAAUUACUGGGCGUAAAGCGUGCGCAGGCGGUGAUGUAAGACAGAUGUGAAAUCCCCGGGCUCAACCUGGGAACUGCGUUUGUGACUGCAUCACUCGAGUACGGCAGAGGGAGGUGGAAUUCCGCGUGUAGCAGUGAAAUGCGUAGAUAUGCGGAGGAACACCGAUGGCGAAGGCAGCCUCCUGGGCCAGUACUGACGCUCAUGCACGAAAGCGUGGGGAGCAAACAGGAUUAGAUACCCUGGUAGUCCACGCCCUAAACGAUGUCAACUAGUUGUUCGGUGAGGAGACUCAUUGAGUAACGCAGCUAACGCGUGGAGUUGACCGCCUGGGGAGUACGGCCGCAAGGUUAAAACUCAAAUGAAUUGACGG